rnacentral:lncRNA from 1 species
CCCAGCUGCCCACACCCCGGCCAACACCAUCCCACUGGAGGUGGCUUGCUGGGUCUCAAGGCAGGUGCGCAGGAAUCUCCAGGGCCUCGAGGGCGAAGCUAGAAUGCAGCUCCCUGUCUGUUUAAACCAUCCUUCCUGCCCCGUGCAGGUCCCUGACAGAAGAUGCACCGGUGGGACACCAGGGACAUGGGGCUAAAGCAAAUGGCAUGUGUUCUGUUCACACAGGGCCGCCGCGGCCCCUGCUCCCCCACCCUUGCCCCUCCAUCUCAGAGGGCCCACAUGGUCUUCAUUACACACACCCCCGCCCCGCAGCCAGGCCUGUGGACGGUGGCAAUGGGGAUCUGGGGAGACUGGGCCUCCCUGUCCACAGGGUGCGUGGAGCAGCCUUACCUGUGGCCUGCACCACGUCUGCUGUCGUCAGGUUCCAGAUGCUGGCGCUCACCCUGAAGGUCACCGCUGGGCCCAGAACACUGAUGUCUGCGAAGACGCUCAUCGGCACCUCCAGGAGACGCGCGACGCUCACCAGCAGCUCCUUCCCAUCUCCUGGGCUCAGGGGGCUGUGGACAGAGCGGGGGCAGCGUCACAGAAUGGAACUCAUCAACACUUGAGAAGCCGCGUGCCCCCGCGCCCCCCGCCUCAGCGCCUAUGGCAUUCCUGUCACAUAGUGACCAGGCUCCUGGGGCAGCUGGGAUCAGGUGCUUCUUCAGGCAUGAUGAAUCACCUGAAUUUCCAAGCAAUGAGACAAACAAUACAGUGCAAAUGGAAUUGUUAGGGGCGUAAUGGGCCCAUGAUCCUGCAAUGGCUCAGCUCGGCCUUCAAUAAAAAAUAUAAUGGGGGGGGUGGAGAAGGGGAAAGGAGAUGGAAGGGAAGCAGGUGCUGAGAAUCCAGGGUGGGCUUCAAAGAUACAAAGGAAACACAAUUUUAAAUGGACUUGUUUCUAAAAUGAGUGAUGUCCUAAGGACAGAGACCUGAUGGGAUACAUUUAGAGGUAAACGGGGAGACCAGGGGACACUCUGCAGGGACCCUGUUGAGGGGGGCAGGUGUGCUCUGGGAGGAUGAGUCCCAGGCCCCAGAGCCUCAGGGAGCCGUGCAGGGGAAGAGCCGUAUGAUGUGUGGGGACUCAGAG